rnacentral:rRNA from 1 species
GAGUUUGAUCCUGGCUCAGGAUGAACGCUGGCGGCGUGCUUAACACAUGCAAGUCGAACGAGAAUCAUUGGAUCAAGGAUUCGUCUGAGUGAAGGUGAGGAAAGUGGCGGACGGGUGAGUAACGCGUGAGCAAUCUGCCUUGGAUGGGGGAAUAACGGCUGGAAACAGCCGCUAAUACCGCAUGAUGUGUCUGUUCCNCAUGGGAUGACCCCNAAUAUUUCUCGCUCUGAGAUGAGCUCGCGUCUGAUUAGCUGGUUGGCGGGGUAACGGCCCACCAAGGCGACGAUCAGUAGCCGGACUGAGAGGUUGAACGGCCACAUUGGGACUGAGACACGGCCCAGACUCCUACGGGAGGCAGCAGUGGGGAAUAUUGCGCAAUGGGGGCAACCCUGACGCANCACGCCGCGUGAUUGAAGAAGGCCUUCGGGUUGUUAAGAUCUUUAUCGGGGACGAAUUUUGACGGUACCCGAAAAAAUAACCUCCCGGCUACUACUUGCCCCCACCCCCGGGUAUUCCUUAGGGGACCAGCGUUUUCCCGGAUUUUCCGGGGGGUAAGGGGAGCGUUAAACGGGCACCCCCAAUCUGGGGAGUAAAAUGCCGGGGGGCCCAACCCCCGGGAACUUUUUUUGGGAACUUGGGGCCCCCCCCAGGCGC